rnacentral:rRNA from 1 species
UACGAAGGGGGCUAGCGUUGUUCGGAAUUACUGGGCGUAAAGCGCGUGUAGGCGGGUCUUUAAGUCAGGGGUGAAAUGCCAAGGCUCAACCUUGGAACUGCCUUUGAUACUGGGGACCUUGAGUCCGGGAGAGGUGAGUGGAAUUGCGAGUGUAGAGGUGAAAUUCGUAGAUAUUCGCAAGAACACCAGUGGCGAAGGCGGCUCACUGGCCCGGAACUGACGCUGAGACGCGAAAGCGUGGGGAGCAAACAGG